GGUAAGUGAUAUCAUUAAGAUGCACUUUCUUAAUUACUAGAUUAAAAAAAUAUCAUGAAGAUAUAAUAUGAAGAUAUAAUGUUUUGUUUGUUAAGAAAGACAUAGAUAGACAGCAAUAUAUAUCUUGUUGUGUAAAAUAAAUUAACUACUCUUGAUUCAGUAAAUUAAAACAAAAAUGAUUUUUUUUUCUCGUUUAAAUUUUCUUAUAGUUAUGGGUGUGAUUUUUAUAAAUUUUUUUAUUAUGGGAUAAAAGCAACUCCCAUAAAUCAACUAUAUCUAUAUAUAGAUGUGACUGUUCAAGAAAAUUAACUGAUAUUUUUAUGAUUCAUAUAUAAUAUGUUUGCAGAAGCUGUUGAAGAGACUAAUGAUGUUAACGAUGCCAAAUAUGGNNNNNNNNNNNNNNNNNNNNCGGGAAUGGUUACCACAAUGGAGGUGGUAGUUACCACCACGGUGGAGGCAGUGGUUACCAUAAUGGAGGAGGUUACCACAACGGUGGAGGUUACCAUAACGGUGGUGGCCAUGGUGGUCAUGGAGGUGGUGGCCAUGGUGGCCAUGGUGAAGAUGUUCAAAACUGAUAUCAUCAAGAUGCACUUUCUUAAUUACUACAUUAAAAUAAAUAUCAUGACGAUAUAAUGUUGUGUUUGUUAAGAAAGGUAUAGAUAGACAAUGAUAUAUCUUGUUGUGUACUAUAUUCGGUCUUAAAUAUAAACAAAAGUUAAAAAUAUUUUUGGUUGAAAUAUCAACCAAAUGUAUUUAGAUUUUUACUUAUAUUUAAAACGAAUGUAUUGUCUAUCUUGCCACCUUAGUAUAAGUUUCAUAAGUGGAAAUCAUGUAUAUAUAUAUAUAUGCAUCACACUAUAUAUUUGUGGUGAUGAGCUUUUAAAAAAGUUGGAAUGUGUUACGCUGAAAAUUAUAUCAAAUAUCACUAGGU
rnacentral:lncRNA from 1 species